AUACGUAGGAUGCAAGCGUUAUCCGGAUUUAUUGGGUUUAAAGGGUGCGCAGGCGGCCAUUUAAGUCAGCGGUUAAAUCUUGGGGCUCAACCCCAUUCUGCCGUUGAUACUGGGUGGCUUGAUUGCGGUCGAGGUUGGCGGAAUUCGUUGUGUAGCGGUGAAAUGCAUAGAUAUGACGAAGAACACCGAUUGCGUAGGCAGCUGACCAGACCGCAAAUGACGCUCAUGCACGAAAGUGCGGGGAUCGAACAGGAUUAGAUACCCUGGUAGUCCGCACAGUAAACGAUGAAUACUUGUUUUCGGCGAUAUAAUGUCGGAGGCAAAGCGAAAGCGAUAAGUAUUCCACCUGGGGAGUACGCCGGCAACGGUGAAACUCAAAUGAAUUGACGGGG
rnacentral:rRNA from 1 species